rnacentral:rRNA from 1 species
UACGAAGGGGGCGAGCGUUAUUCGGAAUCACUGGGCGUAAAGCGUGCGUAGGCUGUCCGGCAAGUUGGAAGUGAAAGCCCAGGGCUCAACCCUGGAAUUGCUUUCAAAACUGCCGAACUAGAGUCCGGGAGAGGAUAGCGGAAUUUCCAGUGUAGUAGUGAAAUACGUAGAUAUUGGAAGGAACACCAGUGGCGCAAGCGGCUAUCUGGACCGGUACUGACGCUGAGGCACGAAAGCGUGGGGAUCAAACAGG